rnacentral:rRNA from 1 species
GGUUAAGCGACUAAGCGUACACGGUGGAUGCCCUGGCAGUCAGAGGCGAUGAAGGACGUGCUAAUCUGCGAAAAGCGUCGGUAAGGUGAUAUGAACCGUUAUAACCGGCGAUGUCCGAAUGGGGAAACCCAGUGUGUUUCGACACACUAUCAUUAACUGAAUCCAUAGGUUAAUGAGGCGAACCGGGGGAACUGAAACAUCUAAGUACCCCGAGGAAAAGAAAUCAACCGAGAUUCCCCCAGUAGCGGCGAGCGAACGGGGAGGAGCCCAGAGCCUGAAUCA